rnacentral:rRNA from 1 species
GACAGAGGUGCCGAGCGUUAGGCGGAAUCACUGGGGUUAAGUAUGUGUAGGCGGAGGCCUAAGUACCUUGUGAAAUCCCACGGCUCAACCGUGGAACUGCUUGGUAUACUGGGUCUCUUGAGCCACCUAGGGGCGAAGUGGAACAAACGGUGGAGCGGUGAAAUGCGUAGAUAUCGUUUGGACGCCAAUGGUGAAAACACUUGCUGGGGGUGUGCUGACGCUGAGACACGAAAGCCAGGGGAGCGAAACGGG